AGUCAAGGCGGCUGUUUUGGCUCGGUAGGCAAAGACGGAGGCGCGGCGGGAGGCGUUUACACUGUUCCGUUUCCUGGCACCUCAACCUCUGAGUGAACUGCAUAGAUUUCCAGAGGCUCGAUCUGACACCAGGCAAAAACAGCGGGAGCAAGUGCGUUUCAGCGGGCUGGGCAGAGAGGAUGACUCGCGCCCUCUAUUCACUUUAUACGAAGAAAGGUUUGCAAACGGCCCAUCUAGAAAAAAUUCAGUUGGAGAUCGUUGAGGUCUCCGUGCAAAUAGGAACGCGCCCCCUCAGGAUCGAAACGGCGGACAGGCUGAUAAGCAGAAAGUGGCUUUGGCAAGAGGAGGCUUUGAGGGAGUGCAGCGGCGAGGACGGUACGAGGAUGACGGUCACAGCUAGGAACACAACCAGCGGCUGACAUCUGCCACUGGUUCCCUGGCCUGGGUUGAUACUACCGCAGCAAUUAAAAAAUGUGGGAUGGUCGGCACAGCUGUGGUAACCGCGUUAUUAUCUGCAGAGGCCGGAGCCUAGCCAAGGCCAGCAUGGCGCGGGCUGCAUUCUACGCGGACGGCUGGGGUAAAACGAAAGAUGGCGGCGCCCUAUGUGCACAGCCCGUCUUAGUCGCUAGGCAGAAGCCCCACGGGCGCGGCCAUUGUAGCCUAGGUGUGUGUCCGUAGAGCGGAGAAGAGGCUUUCUGGAGGCGGUAUAAGAGGACCAACAAGGUUUGUAGAACUCAGACAUUGCUAGGGAGGCGGCGGUCAGAGUAGACCAAAACAGUAUAUAUUUGAAGUCAUACUAAGGUUUGGGGAUGGGAUUACUUAGAUUUAGAAGGCAAACACCCGUUUAAGAGGUGGAAACAGUUUGGGGCGAGUGGUACCCUAAAGCCAGUGUGUGAAUGGAUUCUUGACUACCUCUUGGGAAGAGGAUGAAGGGCUGAAAGCAUAUUUACAAGUUUCCUUCAAAGCAAAAAAAAAAAAGGCUCUUCAGAACAUUAUAUUGUGAGAUAACGCAAUCAUCAUACUUUGUAUAGUUCCCAAAAAGAAAAAUAAAAAGCACACUGAAAACAAAAAAUUAUAUGUAGGCAGGCAUGGAUCCAGUUUAAAAUUUUCAUUUUCUUUAACCCAGCCCUUCCAAUUCUGAGAAUUUAUUUGAUAAAAAGCUCCUUUUCUAAUUGGGGGGUGGGGGAGAACAGAAUGUAAAAUAGAAGGAAGCUUUAUAAAUUAUGAAAUAUUACUCAGCACAUUAAACAGCAAGGAAACGAUAUAGUACAGUUUUCAGUGUUAAAUGAGGAAAGAUGAGCAUAUUCUUCAGAGGACAAAAAAUUGAAGACCAGUAUACAGUGAUCUCAUGGGAAAAAAAUCCUAAACAUUUGUCCAUUUGAGAAUUGUGAUCAGUUAAAGAAAACAUUUAGUUUGGAUUACUUUGGGUUCUUUGCUUAUGGGUAGAGGAAGAGAAAAUAGAAGUUCUCACAUUUCUAAUUUUUGCAGUUCUCAGUUACUUAUGGAUGUACUAUAAUCAUCUAUUACAUGUGUAUUGUAAAAAGAUGUUGAUUUUAGACUGACUUUUAGAAUAAUACUUACUUUAUGGAUAGAUGGUCACAGUAUAGUAAAUAAAAAACAGAUGACAGUCUCAUUUUUCUUUCAAAAAAGAAAUUUACUUAGAUGCACUGGAAAAUUUGGGGACAGUAUAUUGUUGACAAUGCUAGGCUCAAACACGAUUACAGGUCAAUUUCAAUUUCUUCAUUUUGCUUAUAUGUCAUCUAAAUUCUAUAAAGAAAGAAUUUACUGUUUGCCUAACUUCUUGAUAGGGAGAGUAGUCCAGUCCCAGCAGGGAUUCAAUUUCAGUCCCAUUCAUCUGGGAUGUCAGGCUCUGAGAGGUGAUAAGUGACCCACAGGGCUGAGGGCAGCCUGGACAGCCCAGCCUGUGACCCAGAGUGCCCAGUUCAGGGAGUGAGAUGAUUUGUACCACGGCAGGGUGUGCAGUCACAGAAGGAUAAGACAUGGAGGGGAUCCAUGGCCUGGGUGGUGGAGCACCCAUUUCUAAUUCUUUGCUGGAGAGUGUGUGCCUUAAAUCCAUCCUGUUACCGGGUGGGGUGGGGAUGGGAACACUAACCUCACUGUAUGAUGACGAUGUUCAAAUUUAAGUGUUCAUCACAAAGCCCUUGUUAUAAAUGCAGCAUCCUGGGCCCCUGCUUGAGAAGUUCUGGUUUAAGAGGACCAGAGUGUGACCUACGAAUUUUCCAUUCGUAACAAAUCCUGAAGCAGGAAGCCCACAGACAUUUAGAAACACUCCUGUAAUAUUCUCUGCUUCCAAAUGUUAAGUUGGCUGACUCCCCUCAAUAUAACAGUUUUGCCUCAAAUUAUAUUAAAUAUAUGUAAUAUUGGGAAUUAAGAAAGAGCCAUGGAAAGGGUGUGUGAAUGUAUAUGCAUACAUACAAACAUGUAAAUAGGUUUUGUUUUGAAUUUUAAAAAUUAUGGUUGUUUGCUAAAAGCAAAAAUUAUGUCUUUAUCUGAUACGGUUCUCAAUAUAUGUAGAAGUAAUAUUUAAGGCAACUUUAACAUUGAGGAGGAAGCUUAAAGAACCUAAAUAGUGGUGUUUGGUUUGCUAAAGCCGGCAAAAUUCAAUAUACCAGAAAUGGACUGGCUUUUAACACUGGAGAUUUAUUAGCUUUCAAGUUUACAAUUCUAAGGCUGUGAAAAUGUCCAAAGUAAAGCAUCC